UCAGAAUUGACUCAAAAAAGGAUACCUCUAAAAGUGUUUAAUUGUACCAUAUCUGUGUUCUAGCUUCGAGUGUUUCAUUUUCCCGAGAUAGCUCCUCCUAAGCAGGGUUACUGUUCAGAGAGUGGAAAUCUGAUUAAGUGGGUCCCAAAUAAACAUCGAAAAUGUCAAAAGCCUGGACUGCAAGCAGUGUCAGAGUUGAAGCCUGUAAGACAGAUAUGUGUUWAAGACCUUGCCUCUGAAAGUCUCAGUGACCUUAAAGAAGCGCAAAGCCAAGGACGAGACGUUGACACGAGAAGAAUGAAAUCCAGGAAAAUCCCUGCAGGAGGCCAGCCCAGUCUCGUGURUCCAAAGAGAAGCCAGAUACUUAGCUGCCCAUCCAAAACAAUAAAAUCACUUCUAAACUACAAAACCGAAGGUUUUGCAGAAAAAGAUGGGGUACUAAGCCAGUCUUGCUCUGGACAGCUGCAGAUUGCAACCAUGGUGGAGCUGCAAGAUGAGGGUGGCCUGAAGCUGAUGAACAGGCAACCGGGCUUGUCUGAUGCUAAACCAAAGUCAUCCCGUCCCUUGCUAGUGCAAAAGGCUCCAGUAAUGGUGAAUUUGAAAGAAAAAAGCACACAAAGCAUCAAAAACAGCCAGUAUCUGAAGAAACCAACAAAAAUUAAAACCAGACCAAGUAUUAAAAUAAAAACUCCAGGUAUACCUUUAAGAACUUCUACUGCAUUUCUGUACUUUAGUGUACUAGGAUCUUUGUAA
rnacentral:lncRNA from 1 species